rnacentral:lncRNA from 1 species
GAGGCAGAGAAGAGGGCAGGCGAGUGUGGCAAAGGCGAAAUUUUUAAUGGAGUCAGCAGUACAGAUGAUCCCGCUCCUCUGAACCCCAGAGCCGCGCAUCCAGCUGUCAACUUGCCAUCCUCACUGUGUCAAAGGCAAGAGGAUGAUAUCCUACGAGGGUCUCAUGAUCACCUUCUAAAGGAAAGGAUGUUUUAACACGCAAGCGUGGGAAGGACUUUGUGGGUGAUAGCCACGCAUUCAACAAAAGCCACCGCUGGACUCCA